rnacentral:rRNA from 1 species
GACGAACGCUGGCGGCGUGCUUAACACAUGCAAGUCGAACGGAAAGGCCCUGCUUUUGUGGGGUGCUCGAGUGGCGAACGGGUGAGUAACACGUGAGUAACCUGCCCUUGACUUUGGGAUAACUUCAGGAAACUGGGGCUAAUACCGGAUAGGAGCUCCUGCUGCAUGGUGGGGGUUGGAAAGUUUCGGCGGUUGGGGAUGGACUCGCGGCUUAUCAGCUUGUUGGUGGGGUAGUGGCUUACCAAGGCUUUGACGGGUAGCCGGCCUGAGAGGGUGACCGGCAACAUUGGGACUGAGAUACGGCCCAGAGUCCUACGGGAGGCAGCAGUGGGGAAUAUUGCACAAUGGGCGGAAGCCUGAUGCAGCAACGCCGCGUGCGGGAUGACGGCCUUCGGGUUGUAAACCGCUUUCGCCUGUGACGAAGCGUGAGUGACGGUAAUGGGUAAAGAAGCACCGGCUAACUACGUG